UACAGAGGUCCCAAGCGUUGUUCGGAUUCACUGGGCGUAAAGGGUGCGUAGGUGGUGAGGUAAGUCGGAUGUGAAAUCUCCAAGCUCAACUUGGAAACUGCAUUGGAAACUACCUUGCUAGAGGAUUUGAGGGGGGAUUGGAAUACUUGGUGUAGCAGUGAAAUGCGUAGAUAUCAAGUGGAACACCAGUGGCGAAGGCGAAUCCCUGGAAAAUACCUGACACUGAGGCACGAAAGCUAGGGGAGCGAACAGG
rnacentral:rRNA from 1 species